rnacentral:rRNA from 1 species
CCUACGGGGUGCAGCAGUGGGGAAUAUUGGACAAUGGGCGAAAGCCUGAUCCAGCCAUGCCGCGUGUGUGAAGAAGGCCUUCGGGUUGUAAAGCACUUUCAGUGGGGAAGAAAGCCUUGGGGCUAAUACCCUCGAGGAAGGACAUCACCCACAGAAGAAGCACCGGCUAACUCCGUGCCAGCAGCCGCGGUAAUACGGAGGGUGCGAGCGUUAAUCGGAAUUACUGGGCGUAAAGCGCGCGUAGGCGGUCUGAUAAGCCGGUUGUGAAAGCCCCGGGCUCAACCUGGGAACGGCAUCCGGAACUGUCAGGCUAGAGUGUAGGAGAGGAAGGUAGAAUUCCCGGUGUAGCGGUGAAAUGCGUAGAGAUCGGGAGGAAUACCAGUGGCGAAGGCGGCCUUCUGGACUGACACUGACGCUGAGGUGCGAAAGCGUGGGUAGCAAACAGGAUUAGAUACCCCGGUAGUC